UAUUUUAAUGUUAUGACGUUGAUUUUUGAUGCAACUCUACCUCCGUUAUGUGUCUUGUUUACAUGUGUAUGCCUGCCCUGUGUUUAUCUGUUUUUACUAUUGUUAACAGUCUUUGUCCUAACAUCCCACUCGUGGCUUGUGCCUUGCCAUGGCGAGUGGGUUUUAUACCAAAUCAGGCAUCAAGGUGUGUGUCUUGUCUCAAAUGUUGAAACCUAAAAACAAUUCUAUUCUCCCUCAAAUCUGUGUACACAAAUGCAUAAUAUUACAUUCACAUUUCUUACAGGGAACAAUGUAAAAAAAACAAAUUCAUAAAUUAUUGCCAUCACAUCAGGCUACAGUAGAGUAGAAAAACUUUAUUGUCGAUACAUGUGGAAAUUUUUAAUGCAAAUCUUUCUUCAGGCUUCUCUGUCCAGUUUGUUUCCAGUCAGUCGGUAGAAGUUUGGUAGAAGUCUGCAUUUCUAAAAUGUUGCGGUUUUGGUAGACCUUUUCUUGUGCAGCAAAAUCAGAAUCCUGACAUGCAAAAUGUUCUGAGAAAAUAUUGCAAAAUAGUGAUGGUAAUCUGAGAAAAAUAACAAGUCAAUGACCAUAACAUUAACUCGGAAUGACUUAAAAAAAGAUUUCAUAACAAUCUGGCAUAAUGCAUUAGGAUUUUGUAACAACACAUCCAUAAACAGUAGCCUAAACAUGGACUUGAUGGACUUGGAUAAGUGCAUGUAUCAUAUUAAAAUGUUAAUGAAAGAUUGAAGAUCUUUAGUGGGGGCACACCUUUACGGAAACAGCAGAUGUGAUAGUCAUCUAUUCCUAUAAAAGGGUGUAUAGUUUAUGUGAAUAGUGUAAACCCCACAGCCAGUCUCUAUCAAAAACAAUGACUUUGACAGCAUUGCAAAACCUGUACCUCAUGAGUGAUAAGUUUGACACAUGCUGAAUUACGUCCGUUCAGUAUUUGUCACGCCAAUGAGUUAACAUUACUAAAGACCUUUGAAUCGACUGCAUUUCACAAUUAGGAAAUAGCAUGCUAGGUAGCUAAAUCUUGUCUCAUUUGUGGUCUGGUAAACAGCAAAUUCAUCAAAUUCAGUGCCCCAUAUUGCUAUUUUCCAAGCUACACAUAGCCUCUGUGCUUGACUCAAACUGUUAACUCAUAGCCCUUCAGAAUGAACAUUUCCCAUUACUCAACACCAGACACCCACUGAAAUUAGGAUGUUAGGAAAUUAGGAAAUAGCACGCUAGCUGGCUAAUGCUUGUCUCUUUGUGGUCCGAUAAAUAGUAAAUUCAUAUGCCCGAUAUUGCUGUUUUCCAAGCUACUGUAGCUUUCAUAUGGUGCGGGACCUGCAUGAGUGUGGUUUCUGUGGGAACGCAGCCGUCAAGGGAUCUACGGGUGGGCCUGGAUGUGCACAGGCCCACUUAGAUUGACAGCUUGUCCACUCUGUUAGAUUUAUGAAAACUUAGUCACUCAGUCACUUAAGAGAAGAAGUUUGCAUGAAUCUGAUAGGGUGGACAAGAUGUCAAUCUGUCAGUCAUGGUGACCCACCCUAUCAAGAUUAAUGAAUACUUCCUCUCUUAUGUGACUGACAUUACAGUGCAUCACACACACGCUGUCAGAAGGCGGUUUCGUGAAGCUAGCAGCUAGAUGAAAUUUGGAAACUAAACAGCUAUCAUUGAAUCUAAACUACAUCUAAACUGGGUCGGAAAAACAAUAGAUGGGACCAACGGAGAGGAUUCAAGAUGGCAGAGUGAGUGGCAACACCUUUGCAGGCUACGGUUAAAAGUUUUUUGUUUGUCGAACCCCCCCAAAAAAAGAAAGUGCAAAGUGACAAAAUGGAAGAUGAAAAUACCAGUGCUGCAAUGCCCCACGCAGUGCAAACUUUACCCCAAAAGAUGAAUGAACAGACUGAACUUUUAAAAAGUCUUGAAAAAUGCAUUGAAGCCAAUACACAGCAGUUAAAGAAAACAAGGAGGAAAUUGUUGUGCUUCAGAAAAAAAAUUGGUGAUCUUCAGAAAGAAAACAACUCGCUAAGAGAUUCAUGUGCGGAGCAAUCCCACUACAAAAGAAGAUGGAAUUUGAGGCUGAAUGGUCUUCCAGAAAAAGAUGGAGAGGACACAAGAGAAAUUGUCAUUGGGAUACUCGCAAGAAUCGUACUACUGUCUGUGGGGCAGCUGCAAGAGACAGUGGAUACCAUCCACCGCCUGGGAAGAAAGGGCAACCUCAAACAACACACCGAGGAUAAUUAUAAUCCAAUUGGGGAUGAGAAUUGUUCGGGAUGACAUCUGGAAAAGAUCAAGAGAUGCAAGAGUUUGCAGUGAAAUACACAUACAUUUCAAAGAAGAUUUCUCCAAAGAAGGCCGAGAGGCUCGUAUCAAACUGUGGCUGUUGGUUCAGGAAGCCAGGGGAAAGGGACGGAGAGUGUUCCUGAAGGAAGGAUACGUGUUGAUCGACAACUGAAGAGUUGACACUGAAUAAACAAGCGUUUUUAGGUUUCCUUUGUUCUAAACAGGCGGCUCCUCUUGAUGGUGGAACAGCUGUCAGUCAAGUUUAGGGGGCAGAUCCUGUGGGCCAUCAUCCCACCGCCCGACUCUACUAUGCAGACUCUGGUUGACAUCACACAGGCACGAUGGUAGCCACCUGGAAAUUAGAGAAAGCAAGAGAUGGGGUGUGGCAUUGGGUCUUACUGUCAGAACUGCCCUGCUGGCUGUCCGACUGAGGCAGAAAUAUGAAUUUUCAGCCGAGGAUCACUUUGUUUCCGUUGCCCGUGCCGCAGACAUACAUGGAGGAGAGGACUGGAUUUGAGGAGAUACUGACGGGGGUGCACAGCUGCAACAGUCCCCUCCAUCUCCACACCAGGACUAAUGCCCCCCUCUUUCUUUCUCUCUCGCUCCCUCUCUCCCUGUGUGUGUUUGACUCUCUCCCUCUGCCGCACUCUCUCUGCUUUCUGCCUCUCCGAGGGGUGGGGGUGCCAUAUGGGAGCUCAGAAAAAUGGAAGUGGAUCGGAGAUAGACAAGAGAGGAAUCUUUCAUUCUUGAGCUCGGAUGUCGGGAUCUAUGUGAGAGGCGAACUAAGAAUUGACCACGGCCAGCAAAACCCCCUUGUGUAAGACACAUCCAUGAAGGGAGCCGUGGCAGUUGUCUGUCUUUCUCCCUGCUCUCACAGGUAAGACAAAUCACAACUUACAUUUGCAACACAACAACAAAGUCCAAAACUUCUUGUUUUUCCUGCGUGCUCCAUUUUGUUAGCAGGAGAGUAUUUGGGUGUAUGACUGCCUUGUUUUGCUUGCGCACUUGCGGUAGACGAGUGAGUCAGUAAAAGUGUCAGACUGCUGUAACAGACGGUCUGCGUGAGAUAAUUAGCCUGGAGUCAUUUGGAAGCUGCUCAGCUCUGCCCAGGUGCCCACUGUGCACAGAAAGAGACCAGACGACCUUUUACUCAGCUCCGUCCCACUGCAGUCACUUAAAACAGUGAUGGAUGUUUCCCUUAACACCCUGCUCCCCUCCACCCCUCGUUCUCCUUUUCUCCCCACCCUCCCUCUCUCUCUCUCUCUCUCUCUGCCCCUCA